rnacentral:rRNA from 1 species
GUGCAUGCGGAGCUACACAUGCAGUCGAGCGCGCCUUCGGGUGAGCGGCGGACGGGUUAGUAACGCGUGGGAACGUGCCCUUCUCUACGGAAUAGCCUCUGGAAACGGAGAGUAAUACCGUAUACGCCCUUUGGGGGAAAGAUUUAUCGGAGAAGGAUCGGCCCGCGUUAGAUUAGGUAGUUGGUGGGGUAAUGGCCUACCAAGCCUACGAUCUAUAGCUGGUUUUAGAGGAUGAUCAGCAACACUGGGACUGAGACACGGCCCAGACUCCUACGGGAGGCAGCAGUGGGGAAUCUUAGACAAUGGGGGCAACCCUGAUCUAGCCAUGCCGCGUGAGUGAUGAAGGCCUUAGGGUCGUAAAGCUCUUUCGCCUGUGAUGAUAAUGACAGUAGCAGGUAAAGAAACCCCGGCUAACUCCGUGCCAGCAGCCGCGGUAAUAAAUU